AGGCUUGGAUUCCUCGUUCUCGUGCUUCUUCUUCUUCUAGGGCUCGCGGAGGGAGAUGGAGCAGACGCCGCUGUUCCUUCGCAAUAGCUACUGGGUCUUGAGACACGGGAAGAGCGUCCCCAACGAGAAGGGCCUCAUCGUCUCGUCCUUGGAGAACGGCACACUUGAAAAGUUUGGAUUAGCUUCUGAAGGUUUCAACCAAGCACGAUUGGCUGGAGAGUUGCUGUUGAAGGAAAUCGACGAGAAGAAGAUUCUUCUAGAAAAUGUUCGAAUAUGCUAUUCUCCAUUCUCGAGAACUACUGAUUCUGCUAAAGUGGUUGCUGAUGUUUUAGGCAUCUCAUUUGACAGUUGUCAGUGUAAGGCAAUGCUUGAGCUUCGAGAGCGUUACUUUGGACCAUCAUUUGAGCUCUUAUCUCAUGAUAAAUAUGCAGAGAUAUGGUCAUUAGAUGAGAAGGAUCCUUUCUUGCCACCUGAAGGUGGAGAAAGUGUUGCAGAUGUUGUCUCUCGACUUGCAGUUGCUCUGGCAGCAAUAGAGGCGGAGUUUCAGGGAUGCACAGUCCUUGUUGUCAGUCAUGGUGAUCCACUUCAAAUCCUGCAAACUAUACUUCGUGCAACCAAGAAACUUGCAUCAUCCAAUGGGAUUGAUAUUUUAUCGAGAACUAAGGAAAUUAUGGUGCAUUCUAUAUUAUCCCAACACCGAAAGUUUGCCCUGCAAACUGGAGAGCUACGCCCAAUCAUUUGACUUCCUAUUAUUGUCAGAUAUGGAGAAGUAUGCUGUAUGCUCAUCAUCAAGGACUAUGAAGUGUUAACAACUGGAGCAUUUUUUGUCCAAGUCUUAACAACACGCAAAUUGAUGCCUUAUACUUUGUUCUAUUUCUGUGAUUCAAUGCCUUUCAAAUUGACUUGAAUUAAGGGCCAUGUCUUGGUCAGAUUGAUUCCUGCACUGUCUGUUGGGAAGAGCUUUCAAUUGGAGGGAGGUGUCUUUGGUUUCCAGUGGUGGUUCAAGCUAUUGUAAUCCUUGGUGCACCUGGUAGAGUGUUGUGUCUCUCUGAAAGGAGGUGGCAACCUUUAGCCAUAUUUAGGUUCCCACUUUCACAAAGGAAGCAUCCAAUCCAUUAGUAUCCUCGGGUACCACGAGAGCUUUUGUACUGGCAUUGAAUCAAGGACAUUGGCAACUACCAAGGACAUGACUGAGGCUUCAUGAAUAAGAGUUUCUGAUGAUUGAUAAGGACAUCUGAAUCUGUAAUUGGCAUGGAAUCUGAGCUACCCUGCUGCAUCUGAGCUUCCCACCUUCACAUAGGACAUAUCCAUUAGGGUUCUUGGGUACCAUGAAAGCAGAAGUGACAGAUAUUGGCAAGUAUCAAGAACAUGACUAAGGCUUCAUGAAUAAAAGUUUCUGAUAAUUGAUUGCCAAGCAUUUGAGUCUGUAAUUGGAGCUACCUUGCCGAAGUUUUGCAUCUUAACACAUGGAUUUUACCUGGAAAGGAAGCUCUCCAAUUGCCUAGGGUACUGUAGAAUAACUGUGUUCCAUGAAGCUUCUCCCAAUCAGAGACAUCCCAGAGGGACAGUUGGUCCUUGGCUUUUACCUAAAGCUAGCCGAGGUAGAUGAACAAACUUGCUGCAAAUUUAAUUUUCCCAGUGGCUUCUUCAACAUCAAACGGAACUUUUUGCUGCAUCCCCCAAUCCUGCACAUCUCUGCAAACACAUAAUGGUGGUGCUUGGACAAAUCUAGCUUCACCCUGCAGUGCUGCCACUGAUGCUUCCAAUGAACUUGUGCAACUGGCAUCCUUGAUUCUCAGGUUCCCCCGGUCAUGCUUUCUCAUGUUCUGAGAGCAUUGUGUUCAUCUUUUCUCCAGGUUCUCCAAACAACAGGUUAUCAGCUGUGUAAACCAAUUCAGGUCAUGUCUUCCCUGAUGGUGUACGGUUCCAUCCAUAAUCAAAGGCAAGGUAAGCAAAUUGUGCUGAAGCUUUUUCUUUCUCAAAUCAUGAUAUUUUGCAAUUAGGACUCUUCAAAUGAACUGAUUGACAAAGGAUUCUUCAAAUCUUACGGUAAACUACUUUGAUGCCCUUUAAAAUAGAAAUGUUAGCAGUGAUCUCAAUAGCUUUCACGCACUGUAUCUGUUUGAAAUUGAUAAAGACAGCAGAAAUAUCAUAAAAAUUAAGAAGCU